rnacentral:rRNA from 1 species
GAUGAACGCUGGCGGCGUGCUUAACACAUGCAAGUCGAACGAUGAAGCCCAGCUUGCUGGGUGGAUUAGUGGCGAACGGGUGAGUAACACGUGAGUAACCUGCCCUUAACUCUGGGAUAAGCCUGGGAAACUGGGGCUAAUACCGGAUAGGAGCGUCCACCGCAUGGUGGGUGUUGGAAAGAUUUAUCGGUUUUGGAUGGACUCGCGGCUUAUCAGCUUGUUGGUGAGGUAGUGGCUCACCAAGGCGACGACGGGUAGCCGGCCUGAGAGGGUGACCGGCCACACUGGGACUGAGACACGGCCCAGACUCCUACGGGAGGCAGCAGUGGGGAAUAUUGCACAAUGGGCGCAAGCCUGAUGCAGCGACGCCGCGUGAGGGAUGACGGCCUUCGGGUUGUAAACCGCUUUCGGUAGGGAAGAAGCGAAAGUGACGGUACCUGCAGAAGAAGCACCGGCUAACUACGUG